rnacentral:lncRNA from 1 species
GAAUCACCCUGAUGGUUCCUUUCCUUUAUCAGCCUCCAUGAAAUGGUGCCACCUAAGAACAGCAGAUUUCACACCGAGAUUCUCCUCUUCGACAGUGAGAAAACAUGUGGAUUUGCUGCCCACUACUGUCUGCUAAGAAGAAAGGAGGAAAACACUUGCUUGCUAACACAAUAAUCACCUGCUUGCUGAUAUAGUAGAAAGCACAAUUGCUCUGGGUGACCUGGUCUUGGUGAUUCCCAAAUGGCUGUUCUACAUGAUCACAAUGCGUAUUGUAUACCCAAGGAACCAGCCGCACUGAAGGUUCUUGUCACAGAUCUGAAAGACACUGUACACCACCAGAGUUAGCUUCUCCAUAAACUACAGGGAGGAAAAAAAGCCAGGCAGAAAGAACGUCAGAAACUACAGGAAAAGGCAGAUGAGAAAAACUGGGCCCUUCUCUCUGAACUCAGAGAACGCAUCUCACAGCUUGAGGCAGAGAACUGUAACCUGCACUUUGAGAAGAACCAGCUGGAGUCCACAAGCCAACGCUUUCGAAAGGAGUUGGAUGCCCAUGGUGUCACUGUUCUGUCGCUGAGCAGGCAAUUGAGAGGGCAGCAGGAGGCUGAGGCCCACCAUGGGGCCUUCUCUCUCGAAAGCGUCAAGGGCAGUGCCAAGUGACUGAGGUUCUACAUGGGUUGCGAUGGGUACCCCCGCCUCAUAGCCUUUAUGGACUUCCUUCUCGAUAGUGAAGGGGAGCAGGCCAGCCAAGACAAUAGCCUCCGCAGUGCCCUCAGCCCUGAAAAUCAGCUGUUCUUGGUCCUUGUCCGCUUACGCCUGGGACUACUUCUCCAGGACCCGGCCUUCCGUUUCCACAUCUCUGAAUCCACAGCCUCCCGCUAUUGGCUCAGCUGGAUAGAGAUCAUGGAGAGGAGGAUGAGACAGAUUCCAAUUGCCUACAGCCAGCAUUACGUAGACACUUUGAAGCCACAGCGGAUACUCAGCAAUCAAGACAUGCCCUUGGUGGCUCUGGAUUAUGCAGAGCUCCUUUUUGAAGCCCAAGGAAGAAAACAAGGCGAAAGUUAUGGUCCCCGGGGUCCUAGGAUCCGCUACUCUGUAUGUGGGUAUGCUCUGGCUGCUCCCAGUGGCUUUCUAACCUUUGGUGCUGGAGCAGGUGAGGGCUACCCACCUUGCCUCCAUUCCUGCAGGCAAGACCUGUGGAGCUGA